rnacentral:rRNA from 1 species
AUUGAACGCUGGCGGCAUGCCUUACACAUGCAAGUCGAACGGCAGCACGGGAGCAAUCCUGGUGGCGAGUGGCGAACGGGUGAGUAAUGUAUCGGAACGUGCCCAGUCGUGGGGGAUAACGUAGCGAAAGCUACGCUAAUACCGCAUACGAUCUAUGGAUGAAAGCGGGGGAUCGCAAGACCUCGCGCGAUUGGAGCGGCCGAUAUCAGAUUAGGUAGUUGGUGGGGUAAAGGCCCACCAAGCCUGCGAUCUGUAGCUGGUCUGAGAGGACGACCAGCCACACUGGAACUGAGACACGGUCCAGACUCCUACGGGAGGCAGCAGUGGGGAAUUUUGGACAAUGGGCGCAAGCCUGAUCCAGCAAUGCCGCGUGCAGGACGAAGGCCUUCGGGUUGUAAACUGCUUUUGUACGGAACGAAACGGCCUUUUCUAAUACAGAGAGCUAAUGACGGUACCGUAAGAAUAAGCACCGGCUAACUACGUGCCAGCCGCCGCCGUAA